CAGUUGUUGCUACUAUUGCCACUGCCAUCCCAACUCUGGCUAGUGUGAAGAUGCUACCUUGGGCAAAAGCAAAUCUCAAUCACAGUGCUCAAGCUCUCAUAAUUUCCACAGUGGCUGGAGCAGCUUAUUUCAUCGUAGCAGACAAGACAGUUUUGGCAACUGCAAGAAAGAACUCCUUCAGCCCACCCUCCAACCCAUGAAUUCCAAAUCUGACAACUUUGGAUAUGUGGAGUUUAGCUGCAUUACAUUGAACUAUCUUAGCUUCAACCCAAUGAACGAACUCGUCAUGUAUAUGCAUUUCAAAUAAAGAAAGAUUUGCAUUUCAAUGUA
rnacentral:sRNA from 1 species